UGGGGAAUUUUGGACAAUGGGCGAAAGCCUGAUCCAGCAAUGCCGCGUGUGUGAAGAAGGCCUUCGGGUUGUAAAGCACUUUUGUCCGGAAAGAAAUGGCUCUGGUUAAUACCUGGGGUCGAUGACGGUACCGGAAGAAUAAGGACCGGCUAACUACGUGCCAGCAGCCGCGGUAAUACGUAGGGUCCAAGCGUUAAUCGGAAUUACUGGGCGUAAAGCGUGCGCAGGCGGUUGUGCAAGACCGAUGUGAAAUCCCCGAGCUUAACUUGGGAAUUGCAUUGGUGACUGCACGGCUAGAGUGUGUCAGAGGGGGGUAGAAUUCAACGUGUAGCAGUGAAAUGCGUAGAGAUGUGGAGGAAUACCGUUGGCGAAGGCAGCCCCCUGGGAUAACACUGACGCUCAUGCACGAAAGCGUGGGGAGCAAACAGG
rnacentral:rRNA from 1 species